rnacentral:ncRNA from 1 species
GUUUCUUUACUUUUUCAGUGAAGCGGGAACUGUCAAUUAUUUUCCAUGUUGACAUUUAACACACGUUAGUGCAUUGUUCGUACCCCAUGUGUGGCUGGCGUGCCGGCGUCUUGAUCGCAACUGUCUGGCCAGGGCAAGUGAUAUGCGUGUUUUCCCUCUACUGCCUGUAGGUUGUAGCGGCAAGGUGGCAGCCCAUAGCUGGUAGACGGUGGGCGCGUGUGUCCGGUCUUCGUGCUAUUAGGCAGGUUUAACGACGUGCGACCCGAUCUGAAGACAGUGUCAGGCGGGAGUUUGACUGGGGCGAUGAAUCUGUCAAAUCGUAACGCAGGUGUCCCAAGGUGAGCUCAGCCAGGACAGAAACCUGGCGUAGAGUAAAAGGGCAAAAGCUUACUUAAUUUUGAUUUUCAGUACGAAUACAGACCGUGAAAGCGUAGCCUAGCGAUCGUUUUGGGGUUAGGUAUGGCUGUUUGACGGUGGCUAAUAAGCCAGAAAUGGCCAUUCUGGCCUCCCUUAUCUUUGUCGGUAAUGCCUUUUUGCCUAUAAUUAUAUCCAACAUGCGGCUGCUGGCUCGGCUCGUGGGUGAGCUCCAAGGCACGAUGGGGCGAGUGAGUUUUGUUUACAAUAAAUGAACACAUAUGCACCAUUCUUAUGUACAUCAAACAUAUAUAUUCGCUGAUCUACACUACCAUCGCUUUUUUUCAAAUGUCAUAGCUCUAUCCCCUUGACAGGGAAGUGAAAGUAGUUCUGUCAGGCUAACGACAUGUACUUCCGAGGAUAAGAGUUCACCCUCGUUGUUGCCGCAGACUUUCAAUGAUGAUCCUGUCGAAAGAAACGGCCGU